GAGCAGCAGAGCCAUCAAGCUGACCUGGGUUCCCUUCAGCUCUACCCUGUCUGUGGAGAGGCUGGAUUUCUCCUUGCACCUGAUGAAUGAUGACUGGAGCACUGAGAGACCCUCCAAUGGAUUUCAGCUGGAAGAGGACAUGCAUAUCCAAGCUGAUGUCAGCACUGGGAACCACACAGCUGUGUGGCCACCCUGGGCCCAGACAGGGAUUCCUCUCCCCUCUGUGCUGUCAUGACUUUAAUGAGUAAGGGGUGGGGUGUCCAUUCUAGAGGAUAAUUACUGACGUACCUGGUAAGGGACUAUGCUUGGUUAGCACCUCAUUGACCAUGACUCUUGUGUCUAGCUGCCUGUUGGAUGGGAGAUCAGAUGACACCAUCUCAGCCUUCAUAUCUCCCAGGCCCAGGCAGGACAUGCUGAAAUUCAUGGUGGAUGCAUUCAGGUUUGCAGGAGACACCAGCAACUUGGUGAGAUGCCUUUUAUCCCUCUCCUGAGUCUGCUAAUCUGAUCAGAGCAGGACAAAACUUUUUUCAGCCAAGACUAUUUUGCUGAAAUCGUGAACUUGGACUAACAAACAAUUCAGCAAGUUGACAAACAAUUCAGUGAACAAAAACUAUAAAAUAAAAACAUUUGGUUCUGACACUUUCAAAAUAACUUUUAGUCAAAACAACUUUGUUUAAAUCUUAGUGUUUUUAUAAAGUAAAACCUUCAAAUGAAACAACUCACUUUGGGUCAAGUGACAUGCUUUGUUUGACCCAAUCCAAAUGUUUUUUUCACUUAGUUUUUUGGUUCACUAGCCAAAACUAACUAGCACAGCUGUAAUGCUGGCUAAACAGGGUUAUUAUAACUACCCUCUGGGAUGAUCCCCAUGCUUUCACUCCCUCUUCAGAUCUACAUCACCUGCCAUUUGAAUGUCACCUCAGCUGACCAAGCUCCAGAUCCCUUGAACAAGGCUUGUUCCUUCAACAAAGCUGGCAAUGUUCUCCAGUGGAAGGCACCAGAAACAUCUGCAGCUUCUGUGAGACUGGGAACUGUGGACAACUUGCACUGACCAGGAGAGUGAACCCUCUGGACAGCUGUCCAGGAAGGUGCUUCCAGAGAGAGACGUCUUCUAGGAAUGAUGGCUCUUCAGUAACAGGAUCUGAGGCUGAUGUUGCAGUCGGACCAUUGUUCAUCCUUGACCCAGCUCAAGGCUCGUGGGGUCCCUCAGAAGGCCAAGUGGUAGCACUGAAGUUGUCAUUGAAGGGUGCAGCAGAGGGGCCCAGAAUGAUGGUGGGGCUAGCAGUGGGGGCAGCAGCCUUGGCUGUGGCCUCAGUUGCCCUGGGAUUCCGUCUUGUGUUUAAAAAAAAAUAUGCAGCAGUC